GUUCUCUGUUGAUUCUCAGGCUCUGGUCUGGUUUUCUUAGUACUCAUCAUCAUCAUCAUCAACAUCAUCAUCAUCAUCAUCUUCUGGAGAUGCAGGAGCCACAACACACAGAGCCCUGAUCGUACACCUGAUACUGCUCUGGGAACUACUGCACAGGCAGCAUCAGAUUAUGAGAAUGAUCCAGCAAGUUUAAAUGACCAGACUCGCACCAACAACAAGGCAGACUCAGUCUACCAAUCUCUGAACCCCAACACCAUGCAACAAGAUGCAGUUUACCAACAGCUUGACCUUAACACCAUACAACAAGACACAGUGUACCAACA